UUGCAGCUGCCUGGGAGUGACUUCA
rnacentral:ncRNA from 2 species